UACAGAGGUCCCGAGCGUUGUUCGGAUUCACUGGGCGUAAAGGGUGCGUAGGUGGCGAGGAAAGUCGGAUGUGAAAGCUCGGAGCUCAACUCCCGAAAUGGCAUUGGAAACUACCUUGCUCGAGGGUUGGAGGGGGGACUGGAAUUCUCGGUGUAGCAGUGAAAUGCGUAGAUAUCGAGAGGAACACCAGUGGCGAAGGCGAGUCCCUGGACAACUCCUGACACUGAGGCACGAAAGCUAGGGGAGCAAACAGG
rnacentral:rRNA from 1 species